AACUGCAUUUGAAACUGGUUGACUAGAGUUUUGUAGAGGGUGGUAGAAUUUCAGGUGUAGCGGUGAAAUGCGUAGAGAUCUGAAGGAAUACCAGUGGCGAAGGCGGCCACCUGGACAGAGACUGACACUGAGGCGCGAAGGCGUGGGGAGCAAACGGGAUUAGAUACCCCGGUAGUCCACGCAGUAAACGAUGUCUAUUAGAAGUUUGUGGCUAUAUGCCGUGGGUUUCAAAGCUAACGCAUUAAAUAGACCGCCUGGGGAGUACGGCCGCAAGGUUAAAACUCAAAUGAAUUGACGGGGGCCCGCACAAGCGGUGGAGCAUGUGGUUUAAUUCGAUGCAACGCGAAGAACCUUACCAUCCCUUGACAUCCAGAGAAUCACCUAGAGAUAGAUGAGUGCCUUCGGGAACUCUGAGACAGGUGCUGCAUGGCUGUCGUCAGCUCGUGUUGUGAAAUGUUGGGUUAAGUCCCGCAACGAGCGCAACCCUUAUCCUUAGUUGCCAGCACGUAAUGGUGGGAACUCUAGGGAGACUGCCGGUGAUAAACCGGAGGAAGGUGGGGACGACGUCAAGUCAUCAUGGCCCUUACGGGAUGGGCUACACACGUGCUACAAUGGCAAAUACAAAGGGUUGCUAACCUGCGAGGGUAUGCGAAUCUCAUAAAGUUUGUCGUAGUCCGGAUCGGAGUCUGCAACUCGACUCCGUGAAGUUGGAAUCGCUAGUAAUCGUGGAUCAGAAUGCCACGGUGAAUACGUUCCCGGGCCUUGUACACACCGCCCGUCACACCAUGGGAGUGGGCUGCACCAGAAGUCAUUAGCUUAACCUUCGGGAUGGCGAUGACCACGGUGUGGUUCAUGACUGGGGUGAA
rnacentral:rRNA from 1 species